rnacentral:rRNA from 1 species
UGCAUAUCAAUAAGCGGAGGAAAAGAAACUAACAAGGAUUCCCCUAGUAACUGCGAGUGAAGCGGGAAAAGCUCAAAUUUUGAAUCUGGCGGUCUUCAUAGGCCGUCCGAGUUGUAAUCUAGAGAAGCGUCUUCCGCGCCGGCCCGUGUACAAGUCUCCUGGAAGGGAGCGUCGUAGAGGGUGAGAAUCCCGUCUCUGACACGGACCACCGGUGCUAUGUGAUGCGCUCUCGACGAGUCGAGUUGUUUGGGAAUGCAGCUCAAAAAGGGUGGUAAACUCCAUCUAAAGCUAAAUACUGGCGAGAGACCGAUAGCGAACAAGUACCGUGAGGGAAAGAUGAAAAGGACUCUGGAAAGAGAGUUAAACAGUACGUGAAAUUGCUGAAAGGGAAACGCUCGAUGUCAGUCGCGUCGGCUGGGGGUCAACCCUGUGGUUUACUGCUGGGUGUAUUUCCUGGUCGACGGGUCAGCAUCAGUUUCGGUCGUCGUACAAGGGCCAAGGGAACGUGGCACCCUUCCGGGGGUGUGUUAUAGCCUUUCGGUCGUAUGCGGCGGCUCGGGACUGAGGAAACUCGGUGCUUGCACCAGAGAUGCUGGCAUAAUGGCCUUGAGCGACCCGUCUUGAAACACGGACCA